rnacentral:misc_RNA from 1 species
GCAAGAUCAAGGUACGGGUUGAUAUGAUCAAGUUUCUUCUCCAAAUGGUGUCUCAAGGAAGCCGACUUCAAAAAAUAUCCGUACAAAACAGAAGCAACAUAUACUUGACAGAGUUUGAACUUUUGUACUUCCGUAGGGGUCCAAUUGUCUGCCACAUUUGACUUCUCUUUCCAUCCUAGAACAGAAGUAAGAUGUUCCCUAACCAUUUCCAGCACUUCGCAGCUAUGGAUAG